rnacentral:rRNA from 1 species
AUUGAACGCUGGCGGCAGGCCUAACACAUGCAAGUCGAACGAGUGGCGGACGGGUGAGUAAUGUCUGGGAAACUGCCUGAUGGAGGGGGAUAACUACUGGAAACGGUAGCUAAUACCGCAUACCAUCGGAUGUGCCCAAAUGGGAUUAGCUAGUAUGUGGGGGAACGGCUCACCAAGGCGACGCUCCCUAGCUGGUCUGAGAGGCUGACCAGCCCCACUGGAACUGAGACAAGGUCCAGACUCCUACGGGAGGCAGCAGUGGGGAAUAUUGCCCAAGGGGGGCAAGCCUUAUGCAGCCAUGCCGCGUGUAUGAAGAAGGCCUUCGGGUUUUAAAGUACGUUCAGCGGGGAGGCGUUACCCGCAGAAGAAGCACCGGCUAACUCCGUGCCAGCAGCCGCGGUAAUAC